CAUAUAGUUAGGCUUUGCCUGCUAUCUGCUUUAUACCCAUUGUCUUUUUGAGUACUAUUCGUUUCCUCGGCGGGUCUCGCCCUGCCGAGUUGGACAAACUUAUAACCAUUUUAAAUCUUGCAAUCAGCGUCUGUAUAAUUAUAACAUAAUAAUUA
rnacentral:misc_RNA from 1 species